UAAAUGAAGCUACAUCUCUCUCUUUUUCACUUCUAUCGGAUUUCUCUAGAAUCAGUGACUGAGCCCAAUCUUGUUCAACCUUCUUCCUUUUCCUCUUCAUUCUUCCAUCACCGGUAACCAUGGAGGUGCUGUUCGCCGCUGUGGUGGUUCCUUGAGGUCACAAUUUUAUCCUCCCUUCUCUGCCUUGCAUCAUCCUGUUCGUUCUCUGAUUUAUCUUCACCGUUUCUGUUUGCGUCACUGGCGGAACUUUGGGAGUUAGGUUGCAGGAACUAGUUCUCUCUCUCUCUCUCUCUCUCAAGACCUUCUUCUUGGAUCAGUGCUGGAAUCUUCCUUCUCUAUCAGCCUCGUGUGGGUGCAGUAGCUCGAUUCUUCUUCCUCUGCUGUGUUCUAGUUGCCAGAAUCUUCUUCUCCCUUAAUUCUACGAGCUGCUGAUCCAACGUGAUGCUAGCUUUCUUAAGGAGAAAACAGAUGCAGAAACUGAAUUGGAAAGGAAAAGAAAGGAAACAUACGAGACAGAGAGAGAGAGAGGAAGAAGAGAAGAGAAAGAGAAGGAGUUAAGCUUGAAUCUAGGAGGCUUUGCAACCAUUGUGAGCUCGGCUAUAUAAUAGGUUCAGGCGAAGGAACCAGUGGAGGACGGGGAAAGGAGCAGAGCUAGGGGUUGUUUGUGAAUUAUAAAGAACUGUAACCCCUUUCUUUUGAGCAAAUCUAUUGUAAUGUAUUUAGGAUUAUGGUGCCAGUAGGAUAUGAUUAUGUAUAUGUCUGUGAGUAUGUGUGAAUUGUAUGGCUUGUAUAUGAAUUUUUUUUUUGCUUGUAGACUUGUGGCUAGGAAACUUAGCUAUAGUGUGUGGCUUUGAUGGAUUUAUUUAGUAGACCAAGUUUUCACUACAAGAAAAUAUUUAUUUUGGUAUAUAUAUGAUUUCACAAGCAAA